GGAAAGGGCUGGGAUACAGCACUAGGGGCUGGGAGAAGGAAAGGAGCUCCCUAAGGGAGAUAAAAUCCAUCCUCCAGGGAACAGAUGUCUCCCUCACCUCCUGCUCAAGCUCCUGCUCCCUGGGCAACUUAUUCCACAGCCUGACCACUCUUCCAGUGAAAACAUUUUUCCUUAAAUCCAAUCUGAAGCUCUCCUGUGUGACUUGAGGCUGUUUUCCUUUCUCACUUGGGACACGGCAGAAGCAAUUGACCCCACCUUGCUACAAUCGCCCUCCAGGUGACAAGCACUGAGGUCCCCCUGAGACUGUGAGGUCCCCCCAGAGCUCCAGCCCAGGCUUGAACCACAGAACCAGGGGAUCACGAGAAGCCAUGGGCUGCCAACAACUGUCUGCAGGAUGGAGGCACGCCGCACCCCCGGGAAUCAGCUGGCAAAUGGGAUGCACUGGGGAUGGAUUAACAACCCAUUAGGGCAGAGAAUCAGGGCUGCCUUACUCAAAUCCCCCCUGGAAUGCUGGGAUUCCUGCCUUCCAUCCCGGGGCUCUAUACAGCGAUCAGCAUCGCCUCGCCCCGGAACAUCAGCGAGGGCUCAGGGCACUGCAAAACCCUUCCCAAAGGGAGGGCAGGAAUUUCCUGGGAUGAACCCAACAGGUCUGCUCCUGCUGCAGGUGCUGGGUGUGGAUGUGGCCGAAGGGACACUUGGGAACACUCAGGAACACUCAGGAACACUCAGGAACACUCAGGAAUGACUCAAACCUGCUGCUGGAGGAGCUGUAGCCAUGCACUGAGAGCCUCUGGGCACAAUGUCCUGCCUGCUUUUCCCCUUCUCCCAGGAAAUUGCCACCCAAGAGGCUUCCAGGAGCAGUAUGACUGCAAUUCCCCCCUUCCUGCUGUGCCAGGGAGUUCAUCCUGGUGGCCAAGGAAUGACUUUUAGUCUGAUUUUUCUCUCUCCAGAACUAAUAAUCUGGAACUGGUGACAAAACCAGGCAUUUUGUCCCUGAAGGCCACUGGAUCCCUGCUGGGAUCAUGACCUGGUUGUUGGAGGUGACUGAGGAAUGAACAUUCUGAAAUGGGAUAUUGGAAUAAUCAGUGGAAUCCUUCUUCCCACCAGGGAAAAUAAAAAAAUCUGGAAGUUUGUGCUCAAAGUGAGAGAUUUCUGGCUGCAGAGGUCACCUUUGCCAUGGGAUUCUGGACUUAAAUUUGGGACAGUCACAUCCCAUUCCCCUCAGUCCCCGGUUUUGCACAGCUCAGGUCCCAAGUCCUUUGGGAAUUUCAUGUGGAGAGUUUUACAAUGGGAAGAAUUCUCUGUUGCCACCUACUUGGAUGCAGAUUGGCAGCACUUUGAAUCCAGUUCAGAAUUCCAGGAAUGGGUUGUGUUGGGAUGGAAAAGAACAGGAGGAAAAGGCAAAUUGCUGCUGUGAUGCCAUGGAAUGCUCAAAUAGAUCCCUGGCAUUUGGGCAUUGGGAUCAGCCCAGCUAGAAGGGAUUAAGAAAAUAAUAAUGACAUUUUUGCUUCCUGGAAAACACAGUUUCAUCCAAAAUAAAACCUUUGCAAAAGGGAAAAAAAAAAAUGAAGAUAAAAAUAGCCCAAAGAAUCAGCACAGCAGGAAAAUUCCGAGCUGGUCAUGGAAUGAACGUCAGCAUUCCCUGUUUGUGAGUUCCUCACUCAAAUUGGGUUAUGUUACAAUACUGGAAUGAAAUAAAGUCACUAUGAAAAGUUGCUUUUU